UUUCUGCAAGGUGCUGCAUGGUUGUCGUCAGCUCGUGCCGUGAGGUGUCGGGUUAAGUCCCAUAACGAGCGCAACCCUUAUCGUUAGUUGCCAUCUGGUAAUGCAGGGGACUCUAGCGAAACUGCCACCGUAAGGUGAGAGGAAGUGGGAUGACGUCAAAUCAGCACGGCCCUUAUGUCCAGGGCUACACACGUGUUACAAUGGUCGGUACAGAGGGCAGCUACCUGGUGACAGGAUGCUAAUCUCGAAAACCGGUCUCAGUUCGGAUCGAAGUCUGCAACUCGACUUCGUGAAGCUGGAUUCGCUAGUAAUCGCGCAUCAGCUAUGGCGCGGUGAAUACGUUCCCGGGCCUU
rnacentral:rRNA from 1 species